GCAAACAGGAUUAGAUACCCUGGUAGUCCACGCUGUAAACGAUGUCGACUUGGAGGUUGUGCCCUUGAGGCGUGGCUUCCGGAGCUAACGCGUUAAGUCGACCGCCUGGGGAGUACGGCCGCAAGGUUAAAACUCAAAUGAAUUGACGGGGGCCCGCACAAGCGGUGGAGCAUGUGGUUUAAUUCGAUGCAACGCGAAGAACCUUACCUGGUCUUGACAUCCACAGAACUUAGCAGAGAUGCUUUGGUGCCUUCGGGAACUGUGAGACAGGUGCUGCAUGGCUGUCGUCAGCUCGUGUUGUGAAAUGUUGGGUUAAGUCCCGCAACGAGCGCAACCCUUAUCCUUUGUUGCCAGCGGUUAGGCCGGGAACUCAAAGGAGACUGCCAGUGAUAAACUGGAGGAAGGUGGGGAUGACGUCAAGUCAUCAUGGCCCUUACGACCAGGGCUACACACGUGCUACAAUGGCAUAUACAAAGAGAAGCGACCUCGCGAGAGCAAGCGGACCUCAUAAAGUAUGUCGUAGUCCGGAUUGGAGUCUGCAACUCGACUCCAUGAAGUCGGAAUCGCUAGUAAUCGUAGAUCAGAAUGCUACGGUGAAUACGUUCCCGGGCCUUGUACACACCGCCCGUCACACCAUGGGAGUGGGUUGCAAAAGAAGUAGGUAGCUUAACCUUC
rnacentral:rRNA from 1 species